GAUGAACGCUAGCUACAGGCUUAACACAUGCAAGGCGAGGGGAAAGGAUAUUGGAAGCUUGCUUCCGAUAGGCGUUGACCGGCGCACGGGUGAGUAACGCGUAUCCAACCUGCCCACCACUUGGGGCUAACCUUGCGAAAGUAAGACUAAUACCCAAUAACUUCUCUAGUAGACAGAUGAAAGAGAGUAAAGAUUUAUCGGUGAGGUAUGGGGAUGCGUCUGAUUAGCUCUGUGGCGGGGUAACGGCCCACCAAGGCGAAACGCAGUAGGGGUUCUGAGAGCAAGGUCCCCCACAUUGGAACUGAGACACGGUCCAAACUCCUACGGGAGGCAGCAGUGAGGAACAUUGGUCAAUGGGCGAGAGCCUGAACCAGCCAAGUAGCGUGCAGGAUGACGGCCCUAUGUGUUGUAAACUGCUUUUAUAAGGGAAUAAAGUGAGUCUCGUGAGACUUUUUGCAUGUACCUUAUGAAUAAGGACCGGCUAAUUCCGUGCCAGCCGCCGCGGUAA
rnacentral:rRNA from 1 species